UCGUCGAUAAAGUUUAAUACGUGCGGUCAAUAUUAGUUUAAAAAUAUUAACUAUGAAUAAUUUUAACACAGUCUGUAUUUUGUGGUGAAACUACUUUAGGAAUAUCAUUAAAAUGUACAUUAGAAACAUGUAUAAAUAUUUUAGAAUAUGGUCGAGGAGUAGAUGGUGGAGCAAUUAAAGGCACUGAUGGGGCUGGAAGAGGCAUCGGGGACGAAGAUGGGGCAAGAGGAGGCUCAGGGGCACACACACCCAAAGGCAGAUGAGCCCGGGAAUCACCAUAGUUUGCUAAUGUUCCCAAUGCUCCUGGAGAUGUGUUCCAUAUUAAUGCUUCUCGAUGUCGGGAUGUUCGAUGUGCCAUUAUCCUUUCCAAUAUAAUC